rnacentral:rRNA from 1 species
GAUGAACGCUGACAGAAUGCUUAACACAUGCAAGUCAACUUGAAUUUGGGUUUUUUAACUUAGAUUUGGGUGGCGGACGGGUGAGUAACGCGUAAAGAACUUGCCUCACAGCUAGGGACAACAUUUGGAAACGAAUGCUAAUACCUGAUAUUAUGAUUAUAAGGCAUCUUAGACUUAUGAAAGCUAUAUGCGCUGUGAGAGAGCUUUGCGUCCCAUUAGCUAGUUGGAGAGGUAACGGCUCACCAAGGCGAUGAUGGGUAGCCGGCCUGAGAGGGUGAACGGCCACAAGGGGACUGAGACACGGCCCUUACUCCUACGGGAGGCAGCAGUGGGGAAUAUUGGACAAUGGACCAAGAGUCUGAUCCAGCAAUUCUGUGUGCACGAUGACGUUUUUCGGAAUGUAAAGUGCUUUCAGUUGGGAAGAAAAAAAUGACGGUACCAACAGAAGAAGAGACGGCUAAAUACGUG